rnacentral:rRNA from 1 species
UACAGAGGGUGCGGGCGUUGUUCGGAAUUAUUGGGCGUAAAGGGCGCGUAGGCGGUGCGGUAAGUCACCUGUGAAAUCUCCUGGCUCAACUGGGAGCUUGCAGGCGAAACUGCCGUGCUGGAGUGUGGGAGAGGUGCGUGGAAUUCCUGGUGUAGCGGUGAAAUGCGUAGAUAUCAGGAGGAACACCUGUGGCGAAAGCGGCGCACUGGACCACAACUGACGCUGAGGCGCGAAAGCUAGGGGAGCAAACAGG